CAGAGUGUUGUAAUGCAGGGUCACUAUAGCAACAGAGUUCUCUCUGCUCUGCUCUCUCUUUCUGCUCUCUCUCUCUUCUCUGCUCUCUUUCUGCUCGCUCUCUCUGCUCUCUCUUCUCUCUCACUCUCUGAUCUCACUCUCUGCUCUCUUCUCCUCGCUCUGCUCUAUCAGCUCUCUCAGCCUGCUCUCUGCUCUCUCUCUGCUCUCUCUUUUCUCUGCUCUCUCUCUCUCUCUCUCUCUCUCUCACACUCUCUGCUCUCUCUCUCCCACACACUCUGCUCUCUCUCUGCUCUCUCUCUCUCCCACAUUCUGCUCUCUCUCUCUCCCACACUCUGCUCUCUCUCUGCUCUCUCUCCCACACUCUCUGCUCUCUCUCUCUCCCACACACUCUAAUCUCUCUCUCUGCUCUCUCUCUCCCACACACUCUAAUCUCUCUCUCUGCUCUCUCUCUCCCACACUCUGCUCUCUCUCUCACUUUCUCUUAUCUUAACAGUGGUGCAGUUUGGACAAUCACCACUUGAUGGCAGUGUUCAACCAGAAUCUAAUAUACUGAUAUACAGUAACAUUCACAAAGUAUUCAGUAACAUUCAGAAAGUAUUCAGACCCCUUGACUUUUUACACAUUUUGUCACGUUACAGCCUUAUUCUAAAAUGAAUUAAAUGUGUUUUUCCCCUCAUCAAUCUACACACAAUAACGCAGAAUUACAAAGCAAAAACGGUUCACUUUAUGUGUGAACAUUUUUAUUUAAAAAAAAGUAGAUAUCACAGAGAGAGAGGGAGAGUAGAGAGUCAGACAGAGGGAAAGAGAGAGAUGGAGGGGAGAGAGUCAGAACAGAGGGAAAGAGAGAGAUGGAGGGGAGAGAGUCAGAACAGAGGGAAGAGAGAGAUGGAGGCUAGAGAGUCAGAACAGAGGGAAAGAGAGAGAUGGAGGGGAGAGAGUCAGAACAGAGGGAAGAGAGAGAUGGAGGGUAGAGAGUCAGAACAGAGGGAAAGAGAGAGAGGGAGGGUAGAGAGUCAGAACAGAGGGAAAGAGAGAGAUGGAGGGUAGAGAGUCAGAACAGAGGGAAAGAGAGAGAUG